AACGAACGCUGGCGGCAUGCCUAACACAUGCAAGUCGAACGAGACCUUCGGGUCUAGUGGCGCACGGGUGCGUAACGCGUGGGAACCUGCCCUUAGGUUCGGAAUAACUCCCCGAAAGGGGUGCUAAUACCGGAUAAUGUCUUCGGACCAAAGAUUUAUCGCCUUUGGAUGGGCCCGCGUUGGAUUAGCUAGUUGGUAGGGUAAAAGCCUACCAAGGCGACGAUCCAUAGCUGGUCUGAGAGGAUGAUCAGCCACACUGGGACUGAGACACGGCCCAGACUCCUACGGGAGGCAGCAGUGGGGAAUAUUGGAGAAUGGGCGAAAGCCUGAUCCAGCAAUGCCGCGUGAGUGAUGAAGGCCUUAGGGUUGUAAAGCUCUUUUACCCGGGAUGAUAAUGACAGUACCGGGAGAAUAAGCGCCGGCUAACUCCGUG
rnacentral:rRNA from 1 species